ensembl:lncRNA
AUGCAUAUUUCCUCAGUGGUAAAUUUCAACUUCCUCAGCCAGGAGAAAAACCGAAAAUGCUACCAACAAUAAAUACCACAAAAAACAAAGCUUUAAAAUGGCAUUUUUCACAUGCAUUCAAUAAUUUUAAAUUACAGGAUCUGGUCUCAAUAAGAAUAUAUGUAGUGUGUAGAUGUGUGUAAUAUAUUCACACACAUAUGUAACUGUAUAUGUAUAUUUGCACAUUUACGCAUGCAGGCUUACUAAAACAAAUAAUGUCAAUAACUUAUGACAUGCUUAUUCUUCCUCCUCUUUCUAUUUUUUUCUUUUUUUUUUUUUUUUUUCUUUGAGGCGUUUAGUGGCUGGUCAGGGAAUCUAAAGACAAUUUAUAGUAAAAUUUCUAUUUUAGUAUGCCUUUCAGUUCUAAGCAACUAACUUACCAACUUUUCAAACACAAUUUGUCUGCAUAGAGAAGACCAUUACACAGGAAGAAAACAAUAAUAGAGGCAGCAUUGCAGCUCUCAGGAAUACACAGGACAACCGAGGCAUGCUGAGAGUUUGGAAAACUCAUUUCUCCAGUUACUGUGGUGGUUUCCACUUCUGGGCUGAACUGACCAAGAAGGACACCAAGAAUUCAGAUGCCUUGCUUCAUGGAGAAUGGUGUGGUCAGAGAAAGGCCAGAAGAGGUUUUCUAAAGUAUUUUGCUCCAGGAAGGGUCCCAUCUUUCUAACGCUAGGGAUGGAACCAAUUUUAAGCUGUUGUAGAGAUGGAGCAUAAACUACGGAUGCACAGAAACUGGUAGGUAGAAAAGAGAGGUAUGCAAUAAGGGAAAGAAUAAAUUGGUUGAGUGUGAAAAGAGAAGAGUGAAAUGCCACAGAGUAGUGGAAAAAAAACAAUCAAGAAGCUCCACAAAAUCAUGUUACUGAAGUCUCUAGAACUUCCUGGGACUCUGUAUGGAUCUUUCAUUCCUGUGUCUUCUUGGGGCCAUGCCUAGAUCACUGUCUUUUUGUGUUUUCCUGUCCAUGUAUACUUACGGUAAAUCUCCAUUAUUGGAGGUAACUUGAAUGAGUGUGUUGUUACAGGUAAAACAGCCUAAUUAAAUCAGGAGCGCUUAGAAGACACUGAACACUGUGGAAGGUGAUAUCAUUUGAGAUGAGUCUAAGAUAGGCAGCCCUGGUUGGGGAACUAUAUGAGCAAAUAAGCCAGUGAAAGUUGGGUGAAGGGGUAGAGAGAAGAAGAGUGGGGAAUCCUCUUUUAGAGAUUAAGACAAUGGUGACUGCCUUAUACAGUUCACUUCUGGUAAGACUUGAAAUCUAUCUUCCCAUAAAAUAUGAAAGUACAUAGAACUCCUAACCUCCUAUAGCCCAGCUAGGCAGUGGCAUACCUGAAUGCCAUGGACAAGCAGGAGAACUCAGCACCAGAUUCACAGCAUUGCUUUUCUGGAGAACCAGUCUCAGUUUCCCAGAAGGGAGCUUAGAAGCUCACAUUUGGAAAACAAACAAACAAACAAACAAUAAGAUUAUGGAUGUUUACCUAGACUAUUGUUUUGCUUCGUUUUUUGCAAUUUUGGACAAAAUGUUAACAUCUUUAAUCAUAAAUGAACUCUUCGGAAAUCAGUACAAAGAGACUAACAUUACAAGGUAAGCGAAAAUAAAAGGAACAGAGAAAAAUG